GCUUGGUUUGUUUGUCUAGAAUAUUCACCUCUGCCCAUAGACUUUCAUGCAAUUUAAUCAUAAACACUCUUUUCAUAAACCCUUAUUCAAGGUAAAAACAACACAACCCAUCAAACCUCAUUCUUUAGCCUUAGGGCCUCACACCAAAAACCCUUUUCUCAAAGAUAAAAUCAACCAACACACAAACAUUUUCUACUUCGAACUACGGAGCUCUGAUUCUUCAUCAUCUGAUGAAUGAUACGUAGGCACAAAGGACACAAUCCUUGGCAAGCACAAUAAUAAAAAAACAAAAAAAUCUCAUUCUUCCACACUCUUUAGAAAAUAAAAUAACAAUAAAC
rnacentral:lncRNA from 1 species